UUCUUCAUUUUCAGGAUGGAUGUAUCAUUGUGUCGAAUGCCUAGGCGAAAAAAAAGAACGUGAAUCGAAAGCAUUACGGUUUCUACAGAAAUCAAUUGAAGCAGAGCCAAAGUGUGGACAAUCAUUAUAUUUAUUGGGGAGAUGUUACGCUGGCGUGAAUAAGGUUCAUGAUGCGUUUUUAGCUUAUCGGAAUUCUGUCGAGAAAAGUGAAGGGAAUGCAGACACCUGGUGCUCGAUUGGUGUUUUAUAUCAGCAGCAAAAUCAACCAACAGAUGCUCUACAAGCAUACAUAUGCGCAGUACAAUUAGAUAAGGAGCAUAAGUCGGCGUGGACAAAUUUGGGAAUUCUAUAUGAAAGUUGCGGGCAAUUGCGAGAUGCUUACGCAUGCUAUCUCAACGCGGUGAAACAAACGUCAAACCAGAAAAUAAAUUCUGUCAAUGAAGGAAGUAAACCUAUAUUAUUUACAAGCAGUACAAAUGGACUGACAAAGGGCAUAUUACAACGAGUGAAAUUCCUCGAAACCCAGCUUAGUCAAGCACCACUGCCAAGUAUUACAUCUAAACGACGCCAGCUUUGCUCAAUUGAAGAGGCUUGGAAUCUUCCAAUAUCAUUAGAAAUAAAUUCUCGUCAACAGCAGCAAAACCUCCAAAUGCAGCACAGA